rnacentral:misc_RNA from 1 species
GAUGAAGAACGUAGCGAAAUGCGAUACUUGGUGUGAAUUGCAGAAUCCCGUGAACCAUCGAGUCUUUGAACGCAAGUUGCGCCCGAAGCCAUUAGGCCGAGGGCACGCCUGCCUGGGCGUCACACGUCGUUGCCCCCCCAUCUACUCCUUCGGGAUUGCGGGGGGCGGAUGAUGGCCUCUCGUGCGCCUCGUCGCGCGGUUGGCCUAAAUGCCAAGUCCUCGGCGACGCACGCCACGACAAUCGGUGGUUGCGAAACCUCGGUUGCCUGUCGUGUGCGGUCGUCGCGCAUCGAGGGCUCGAAAAAUUGCCGGGCUUCGGCUCGACUUUCAACGCGACCCCAGGUCAGGCGGGGUUACCCGCUGAAUUUAAGCAUAUCAAUAAGCGGAGGA